CCAAAGUUAUCAGGUCUCUCUUCUUUCAACACUAUUCUAAUUCAUGUGAAAAUAUUUAGCAGUCUGUAGAGAAAGAAAGCAAAGGCCCAGGCACUGGUCUCCUCUUUCAUCAAAUGGAAUCUGUGGGCCUGAACACCAGUCCUAGAUACAGCUGAAGAGCUGGUAAGCUCUAACCCCACAAGGGAAGACAAGAAAACUCUCGCUUAAGAGUUAUGUUACAAAGGGACGCAAACAAAGAGUGCCAGUUAAAAGAUCUUUAAGGACAAAGGUCAGUGGCAAGGUAAAAAGGAAAAGAGAUGUGGGAAUUUC
rnacentral:lncRNA from 1 species